GAAGAUCUGACGUUUUCUGAAAGUCUCUGUGAGAUUGCUCCUGAUCGACCAAAGGGAGCUGAAGCUGCUUCUGCAGUACCCAACCAGAUGCUACAGCCUCAACCUUCCAGUAGUGCAACAGAACUGGAUAUUAAUUCUCUUUACAUGCCUAGGCUUCCCUAUGUAGGUGAAGAGCAAAUUAAAGUCUAUGAAGACUAUGUGAUUGGUAGUGGUAACUUUGGAACUGUGUACAGGGGAUCCUACCAGGGGACAGUUGCUGCCAUUAAAAAAAUCCCCAUUCAAGGAUCUCUGAAUGACAUAACACAUGAGAUUCUCGUCUGCACAAGGCUUUCCCAUCCUCACAUAGCCAGGGUGAUGGCUGUUUCUAAGACUGAUAGAGCAAUUCUCAUUGCAAAUGAAUACAUCCAUGGAACAAGUUUAGAGAAAGUGCUUCAUGGAGAUUAUGCAAAU